rnacentral:tRNA from 1 species
AGCUCAGUCGGUUAGUCCGGCAACUGCCGGAUCAUAAGCCGGGUGUCGGCGGUUCAAGUCCGCCCUCUGCUACAA